rnacentral:misc_RNA from 1 species
AACGCACCUUGCGCUCCUUGGUAUUCCGAGGAGCAUGCCUGUUUGAGUGUCAUUAAAUUCUCAACCUUUCCUGCUUUUAUUAGCUGGGUCAGGCUUGGAUGUGGGGGUUGCAGGCUUCUCAGAAGUCUGCUCUCCUUAAAUGCAUUAGCGGAACCUUUGUUGACCAGCUCUGGUGUGAUAAUUAUCUAUGCCAUUGUGAAGCGACUUUUUAUGGGGUUUGGCUUCUAACCGUCCGCAAGGACAACCUUUUUGACAUUUGACCUCAAAUCAGGUAGGACUACCCGCUGAACUUAA